AUUGAACGCUGGCGGCAGGCCUAACACAUGCAAGUCGAGCGAGCGGCGGACGGGUGAGUAAUGUAUGGGGACUGCCAGAUAGAGGGGGAUAACUACUGGAAACGGUGGCUAAUACCGCAUACUAUCGGAUAACCCAUAUGGGAUUAGCUAGUAGGUGGGGUAAAGGCUCACCUAGGCGACGAUCUCUAGCUGGUCUGAGAGGAUGAUCAGCCCAACGGGGACUGGGAACCGUCCCAGACUCCUCGGGAGGCGGCGGGGGGGAAUAUUGAACAUUGGGCGCAAGCCUAAUGCAGCCAUGCGGGGGUCAUGAAGAAGGCCUUAGGUUUGUAAAUUACUUUCGGCGGGGAGGCGUUACCCGCAGAAGAAGCCCCGGCUAACUCCGGGCCAGCAGCCGCGUAAUAC
rnacentral:rRNA from 1 species